GAUGAACGCUGGCGGCGUGCUUAACACAUGCAAGUCGAACGAUGAUGCCCAGCUUGCUGGGUGGAUUAGUGGCGAACGGGUGAGUAACACGUGAGUAACCUGCCCUUGACUCUGGGAUAAGCCUGGUAAACUGGGUCUAAUACCGGAUACGACCAUCUGGCGCAUGUCAUGGUGGUGGAAAGCUUUUGUGGUUUUGGAUGGACUCGCGGCCUAUCAGCUUGUUGGUGGGGUAAUGGCCUACCAAGGCGACGACGGGUAGCCGGCCUGAGAGGGUGACCGGCCACCAGGGGACUGAGAGAGGGCCCAGACGCCUACGGGAGGCAGCAGUGGGGAACAUUGCACAAUGGGCGCAAGCCUGAGGCAGCGGCGCCGGGUGAGGGAUGCCCGGCUUUGGGGUGUAAACCUCUUUCAGUAGGGAAGAAGCGAAAGUGACGGUACCUGCAGAAGAAGCGCCGGCUAACUACGUG
rnacentral:rRNA from 1 species